rnacentral:rRNA from 1 species
CACCGCCCGUCACACCAUGGGAGUUGACCGCUCCAGAAGUGGCCACGCCAACCCGCAAGGGAAGCAGGUCCCCAAGGAGCGAUCGAUGACUGGGGUG